AUCUUAUCAAGAGAGGUGGAGGGACUGGCCCUAUGAAGCCCGGCAACCGGUAUUUUAAUACAAUGGUGCCAAUUCCUGCAGUAUUGCUUUUGCAAUACUGAAAGAUGAGGA
rnacentral:ncRNA from 2 species